CCUACGGGAGGCUGCAGUGAGGAAUAUUGGUCAAUGGGCGGAAGCCUGAACCAGCCAAGUCGCGUGAGGGAUUAAGGCCCUGCGGGUCGUAAACCUCUUUUGCCGGGGAGCAGAGGUCCGGACGUGUCCGGGCCGGGAGAGUACCCGGAGAAAAAGCAUCGGCUAACUCCGUGCCAGCAGCCGCGGUAAUACGGAGGUUGCGAGCGUUAUCGGGUUUUAUUGGGUUAAAAGGGUGCGUAGGCGGGCAUUUAAGCCGGCGGUCAAAUGUCGGGGCUCACCCCCGGCCUGCCGUCGGAACUGGGUGCCUUGAGUGGGCGAGAAGUAUGCGGAAUGCGUGGUGUAGCGGUGAAAUGCAUAGAUAUCACGCAGAACCCCGAUUGCGAAGGCAGCAUACCGGCGCCCUACUGACGCUGAGGCACGAAAGUGCGGGUAUCGAACAGGAUUAGAUACCCCUGUAGUC
rnacentral:rRNA from 1 species